rnacentral:rRNA from 1 species
UACGUAGGGUGCGAGCGUUGUCCGGAAUUAUUGGGCGUAAAGAGCUCGUAGGCGGUCUGUCGCGUCGGUCGUGAAAACUUGGGGCUUAACCCUGAGCUUGCGGUCGAUACGGGCAUGACUGGAGUUCGGCAGGGGAGACUGGAAUUCCCGGUGUAGCGGUGAAAUGCGCAGAUAUCGGGAGGAACACCGGUGGCGAAGGCGGUUCUCUGGGCCUUACCUGACGCUGAGGAGCGAAAGCGUGGGGAGCAAACAGG